UAUCUGGUUGAUUCUGCCAGUAGUCAUAUGCUUGUCUCAAAGAUUAAGCCAUGCAUGUCUAAGUAUAAGCAAUUAUACAGCGAAACUGCGAAUGGCUCAUUAUAUAAGUUAUCGUUUAUUUGAUAGUACCUUACUACUUGGAUAACCGUGGUAAUUCUAGAGCUAAUACAUGCUAAAAAUCCCGACUUCGGAAGGGAUGUAUUUAUUAGAUUAAAAACCAAUGCCCUCUGGGCUCCUUGGUGAUUCAUAAUAACUUUUCGAAUCGCAUGGCCUUGCGCCGGCGAUGGUUCAUUCAAAUUUCUUCCCUAUCAACUUUCGAUGUUUGGGUAUU
rnacentral:ncRNA from 1 species